rnacentral:rRNA from 1 species
AGUGAACGCUGGCGGCGUGCCUAAUACAUGCAAGUCGAACGGAGUGGAGCACGGGAGAGUAAUGUAUAGCUAAUCUGCCCUACACUAGAGGACAACAGUUGGAAAAGACUGAUAAUACUCUAUAGUGUAGGAUGGGGAUAUAUUGUAUCAGCUAGUUAGUGAGGGAAUGGCUCACCAAGGCUAUGACGCAUAACUGGGCUGAGAGGAUGAUCAGUCACACCGGAACUGAGACACGGUCCAGACGCCUACGGGAGGAAGCAGUAGGGUAUAUUGCUCAAUGGGGGAAACCCUGAAGCAGCAACGCCGCGUGGAGUAUGACACUUUUCGGAGCGUAAACUCCUUUUGUUAGGGAAGCGGUACCUAACGAAUAAGCACCGGCUAACUCCGUGCCAGCAGCCGCGGUAAUUC